rnacentral:lncRNA from 1 species
CCUGCAUCCUAAAUAUGUUCAUGAGUAUGGAAUCAUGUCAAAUUCAAGCACAUAUUCAUAUCGAUUCUCAAUUAACCAAUGAUGACUCCAAUGAAUAAGUAUUAGAAACUCUUUCUAAUCUCUUUUUUACUUUUAGCCAAAAUAUUUUUUUCAAGUCAUCUAGGAUUAAGAAUACGCAGGAUGUGAUCUCCUCUUACUAGGAG